UACGAACUGUGCAAACGUUAUUCGGAUUCACUGGGCUUAAAGGGUGCGUAGGCGGCCAUGUAAGUAGGGUGUGAAAUCCCCCGGCUUAACCGGGGAACUGCGCCCGAAACUGUGUGGCUUGAGUGAGAUAGGGGUGUGUGGAACUUCCGGUGGAGCGGUGAAAUGCGCAGAUAUCAGGAGGAACACCCGUAGCGAAGGCGGCACUCUGGGCCGAUACUGACGCUGAGGAGCGAAAGCGUGGGGAGCGAACAGG
rnacentral:rRNA from 1 species